ACAAAAAAUUAGUCUUACAAGCUGUCUUGAAGAUCCCUACACAAGGCAAAGCUACUUUUCCAAAGUCCUAUACAACUGAUGGUUAAAAGAAAGGUAAACUCUUCAAACAACCAAGCACAUGCUUCCAUGAGUAUCUCCAGUUUGUGAACAUGCACUUGUUAGACUUCCAUGGAGGAC